AUUGAACGCUGGCGGCAGGCCUAACACAUGCAAGUCGAGCGGAUGAAGGGAGCUUGCUCCUGGAUUCAGCGGCGGACGGGUGAGUAAUGCCUAGGAAUCUGCCUGGUAGUGGGGGAUAACGUCCGGAAACGGGCGCUAAUACCGCAUACGUUCUGAGGGCGACAGUGGGGGAUCUUCGGACCUCACGCUAUCAGAUGAGCCUAGGUCGGAUUAGCUAGUUGGUGGGGUAAAGGCCUACCAAGGCGACGAUCCGUAACUGGUCUGAGAGGAUGAUCAGUCAGACUGGAACUGAGACACGGUCCAGACUCCGAGGGGAGGCAGCAGUGGGGAAUAUUGGACGAUGGGCGAAAGCCUGAUCCAGCCAUGCCGCGUGUGUGAAGAAGGUCCUCGGAUUGUAAAGCACUUUAAGUUGGGAGGAAGGGCAGUAAGUUAAUACCUUGCUGUUUUGACGUUACCAACAGAAGAAGCCCCGGCUAACUUCGUG
rnacentral:rRNA from 1 species